UCCUGGUGGCUCAGACAGUGAAGAAUCUGCCUGCAAUGCAGGAGACAUGGGUUCGAUUCCUGUCUCAGGAA
rnacentral:tRNA from 1 species